GACGCUGGAGAAGGUGGUGGUGCACCCGCUGUGCUGCUCAGCAUCGUCGACCACUACAACUGCAUCGCCCGCGACACCCGGAAGCGCAUUGUUGGCGUGCUCCUCGGCACCUCCUCCCGCGGCGUCAUCGACGUCACCAACUCCUACACUCUGCCAUUUGAGGAGGAUGACAAGGACCCGAGGAUCCGGUUCCUCGACCAUAAUUACCAUGAGUCUGUGUUCUCCAUGUUCAAGAGCAUCAAUGCCAAGGAGCAUGUUGUUGGGUGGUACAGGACUGGUCCAAAACUAAAGGGGAACGACUUGGAUGUUCAUGCAUUGUUUACCAGCUUGAACUCUUUGACCACGCGCAAGGGUUCAUCCCGCCAUCCACCCUACCUGCAUAUGCAGGAGCUGUAG
rnacentral:rRNA from 1 species